GUAGGUGAACCUGCGGAAGGAUCAUUAUUGAAUAAACUUGGUUAGGUUGUUGCUGGCUCUUAGGAGCAUGUGCACGCCGACUCCAUUUUUAACCACCUGUGCACCUUGCGUAGAUCUGAUACUCUCGAGGCAACUCGGUUUGAGAAUUGCUGUGCAAUAAAAGGCCAGCUCUUCUUGUAUUCAGGUCUAUGUUUCUACAUACCCCACAUGAAUGUAUUUUGAAUGUCGUCAUUGGCCUUGUGCCUUUAAA
rnacentral:misc_RNA from 1 species